GGUUAGGAUUAGGGUCGGGGUUAGGAUUAGGAUUACGGUUAGGAUUAGGGUUAAGGUUUAGGGUCGUGAUUAGGGUUAGGAUCAUGGUUAGGAUUAGGGUCCUGCUGAGGGUCCCGGUAAGGAUUAGGGUCAAGAUUAGGAUUAGGGUCCCGAUUAGGAUUAGGGUCGGGAUUAGGAUUAGGGUCGUGGUCAGGAUUAGGGUCAUGGUUAGGAUCACGGUUAUCAUUAGGGCCACAGUUAGGAUCACGGUUCGGAUUAGGGUCCUGCUUCGGGUCCUGGUAAGGAUUAGGGUCAGGAUUAGGAUUAGGGUCAGGUUUAGGGUCGGGAUUAGGAUUAGGAUUAGGAUCAUGGUUAGGGUCAUGGUUAUGGUUAGGGUCAUGGUUAUCAUUAGGGCCACAGUUAGGAUCACGGUUCGGAUUAGGGUCCUGCUUCGGGUCCUGGUAAGGAUUAGGGUCAAGAUUAGGAUUAGGGUCGCGAUUAGGAUUAGGGUCCCGAUUAGGAUUAGGGUCGGGAUUAGGAUUAGGGUUGGGAUUAGGAUUAGGGUCAUGGUUAGGAUCACGGUUAUCAUUAGGGCUCCAGUUAGGAUCACGGUUCGGAUUAGGGUCCUGCUUCGGGUCCUGGUAAGGAUUAGGGUCGGGAUUAGGAUUAGGGUCCCGAUUAGGAUUAGGGUCGGGAUUAGGAUUAGGGUCAUGGUCAGGAUUAGGAUCAUGGUUAGGGUCAUGGUUCUCAUUAGGGUCAUGGUUAUCGUUAGGGCCACGGUUAGGAUCACGGUUCGGAUUAGGGUCCUGCUUCGGGUCCUGGUCAGGAUUAGGGUCAAGAUUAGGAUUAGGGUCGGGAUUAGGAUUAGGGUCGGGAUUAGGAUUAGGGUCAUGGUCAGGAUUAGGGUCAUGCUUAGGGUCAUGGUUCUCAUUAGGGCCACGGUUAGGAUCAUGGUUAGGAUUAGGGUCCUGCUUCGGGUCCUGGUAAGGAUUGGGGUCAGGAUUAGGAUUCGGGUCCCGGUUAGGAUUAGGGUCGGGAUUAGGGCCGGGAUUAGGAUUAGGAUCAUGGUUAGGGUCAUGGUUCUCAUUAGGGUCAUGGUUAUGGUUAGGAUCACGGUUCGGAUUAGGGUCACGCUUAGGGUCCUGGUAAGGAUUAGGGUCGCGAUUAGGAUUAGGGUCCCGAUUAGGAUUAGGGUCAGGUUUAGGGUCGGGAUUAGGAUUAGGAUCAUGGUUAGGGUCAUGGUUCUCAUUAGGGUCAUGGUUAGGAUCAUGGUUAUCAUUAGAGUCAUCGUUAUCAUUAGGAUCACGGUUCGGAUUAGGGUCCUGCUUCGGGUCCUGGUAAGGAUUAGGGUCAAGAUUAGGAUUAAGGUCCCGAUUAGGAUUAGGGUCGGGAUUAGGAUUAGGGUCAUGGUCAGGAUUAGGGUCAUGGUUAGGGUCAUGGUUCUCAUUAGGGUCAUGGUUAUCGUUAGGGCUACGGUUAGGAUCACGGUUAGGAUUAGGGUCCUGCUUCGGGUCCUGGUCAGGAUUAGGGUCGGGAUUAGGAUUAGGGUCGCGAUUAGGAUUAGGGUCAGGUUUAGGGUCGGGAUUAGGAUUAGGAUCAUGGUUAGGGUCAUGGUUCUCAUUAGGGUCAUGGUUGUCGUUAGGGUCAUGGUUAUGGUUAGGAUCACGGUUUGGAUUAGGGUCACGCUUAGGGUCCUGGUAAGGAUUGGGGUCAAGAUUAGGAUUAGGGUCGGGAUUAGGAUUAGGGUCGGGAUUAGGAUUAGGGUCAUGGUCAGGAUUAGGGUCAUGGUUAGGGUCAUGGUUAUCAUUAGGGCCACGGUUAGGAUCACGGUUCGGAUUAGGGUCCUGCUUCGGGUCCUGUUCCGCGCGUCGCUGCAGCUGCUGAUGGCGACGCUGGACGGCACGACGCCGCACUACGUGCGCUGCAUCAAACCCAACGACCGCAAGCUCCCGUUCACGUGAGUCCCGGCCAGGUCCUGGAAGCUGCGUAAAGCUCGGCGCCGUUCCGAGCGGCCUCGUUAGCUAACGAGCGCUAACGAGGGCUCCGUGCCGCGCGGCGCUCCCAACACCUAAACCCCAACCCAACCCCACCCCAACCCCAAUCCUGACUCUAAACCCAACCCUGACCCUAAACCCAACCCUGACCCCAAUCCUGACCCUAAACCCAACCCUGACCCUAAACCCAACCCCGACCCUAAUCCUGACCCUAAACCCAACCCCGACCCUAAACCCCAACCCAACCCCAACCCUAAACCCAACCCUGACCUCAAACCCAACCCAACCCCGACCCCAAUCCUGACCCUAAACCCCAACCCAACCCCACCCCAACCCCAAUCCUGACCCUAAACCCAACCCUGACCCCAAACCCAACCCAACCCCAAUCCUGACCCUAAACCCAACCGCGACCCUAAACCCAACCCCAAUCCUAACCCCAACCCCAAACCCAACCCCGACCCUAAACCCAACCUAACCCCGACCCUAAACCCAACCCAACCUUAUAGGCUUAUAGGGGAUCUCGGUGGUUAUAGGGGAUCUCUGGGGUUGUAGGGUUGGUUAUAGGGGAUUUCUGGGGUUGUAGGGCGGUUUAUAGGGGA
rnacentral:lncRNA from 1 species